GGAAAAAUUAACUAAGCAAUGGUUAAGUAAAAAUUAUUAUAAAAUGUUAAAAUGAUAUAAGGUGAAAGUUGAUAGUUUUCAUUCAGAAAAAAAUGUAAUUCACAACAUGACUAUAUGAUUUCAUUGUAAAUGUUUGGCCUCAAGUAUAGUUGUAUGAGAGUAGACACUUGAGUUGUAUCUUUCUAGUGACAGAAAUGGCAUUGUAUUAUAGACUUUUGAAACAUACAAUUGAUUACCGAUUGUAGAAUCAUGUAGAUAAGGAUAUCUAUCAUGUCUAGGUAGAUUGUGUUUCUACUCAUAUAUUUUGUAGUCAUAUUAUAGUUUUUUUAAUGUUAGAAAUAACAAUCAUAUUCAAUGAAAGUUAUCCUUUUUAAUUAGUGUAAGAAAUACAUGAAUAAUUUUGUCAUAUUUUGUGAAAUAAUUAAAUUUUAUAAAGGUCGUCUGACCUGCAUCUUUACAUAUGUGAUUAUAUGUCUCUAACAAUAAGUUAAAAUGAUUAUUUUAUGUUAAUUCUACAGGUCAUGUAUAAUAAGCUAAUUUUUGGUAUGCUUUUGUAUGUAAUUUUUUAAAAGAUCAGUUAUAUCCAUUUACACAGCAUACCAUAGAUAUAGAUGUCUCAGAUUAUAUAUAGUUGGCUAUGGUCAGGACAUGAAUGCUAACAAUUUCUAUUUAUGUAAUUUUUACAAUUCAGCCUCCCAAAAAAACAUGUUUAUAUUAUCAACAGACUGAAAACUGGUUUAUUGCAUUACACACUCUGACAGUAAAACAAAGAAACAUAUUUGCUAAGGUAAACAAUGCUUGAAAUAGGUAUGUCAUAAUAUGGUAAUAAUAUGAUAAUAAUAAUUCUAUUGAGGAAGAUAGAAAAUUGGUAAACCACAAAUUUUUUUUUAACCAGGACUAUUGAUCUGCAAUAUUCCAUGGAUAUAAGGUUAUAAAUUAGUGUUUUUGUGUGAUUAAGUAUCUUUCCACUGCAUAUUUAAAUGUUGUCAAUAAUUUUAUGUGAUAUCAAAGCUAGUCUGCUUUUAACGUUGAUUAUAAUUUAGGAAAGUUGCUUUAAAUGGUUUAGUGUUUAUUAAUCUAGGUUUUUAAAGCAUUAUUCAGUAUUGAAUUUAUAAACACGACAAUCUGCUGGAAAGAAAAGAAAAAUAAUAUGCAAGAACCUGUAUAUCCUCAAUGCAUGGUGCUACAAAAAAUAUAAUAGACAACUUAUAUUCCAAACCUGUUGUCUAAGUCUCCUCCAAUGACCCAUAGUAAUUGUUCUUCUGUUCAGGACAUUGAACACCCAUGCAAGUCAUCUGUUAUGAUUGUAAGGUCAGAUCUUUAAGAUUGUGUACUCUGGUCUGUUUUGGAUAUUUGUAGUUGAGGUUUUACAGUACAAUAUCAUAUAGGUAUAUAUAUAAAAAAAAUUUUUACAAAAUUUAUACUCACUGUUAAGUUUUUUGUCCAUCUAUAAGAGGAAGCAUAAAUAAUGCUGAUUUCCAUGCUUAAUAGUACAGUCAUGUUAAUGCAAUCAAGCCUUAACUAUAACCAUUUAUGUAAGUAUGUAAAUCAUUUAUAUUUGACAAUGAACAAAAUAUAAGUAGACAUUGUUCAAGAAGUAGUGAAUGCAGAAAGAAGUUUAUCGUGAUACAUAUAUAUUUGAAACUAUGCAUGCCUUAGAAGAAUAUACAUCUAUAUUAAAAAAAAGGAAUGUUUUAAGAAAUAAAAAGUAAAAAAUGUUGGGAAAUAUAAUAAACAUGAUAAAGUGUUUUUUUAACAAACAAUGUCUUUGAUUAGAUUGGAAUGAAAUAAAAGUUUCAAAAGUGUUAUAUAGUUUUCCUUAUCUGUUGUUGUUUAGAAUAGUUUUCAUUUUAGAGUUGAAUGUUUUAUAAUUCUGCAUUGUAUAAGUGUAAUUUGUAUAUGUGAGUAUCCCUAUGGACUUCAAUUUAUUUUUUGGCUUGUUGAAUAUAAAAUCCCUUGGUAUUAUAAAUCAUUUUAAGUGAAAACCUUUAGAUUUUGACCAAUGAUAAGUUUGUCAAACAUCGACACCAAAGCAUUUGAAAACUUUCUGUUUUAAAAAUUUCGGACACACUUGCUUAAAUACAUUCUUUCCAAAACUCUGAUUUUGAGAUCUCAUAAAUUUUGAUUUGUGUACUAACCAUACAAAUGAAAUAUCUAUGCAUUUCGAGAAAGAACCUUUUGGUGUUAUUUUUUUGGUUUAACAUGUGAAAAAACUCUUAUUUAUAUGUAAUUUGUAUUUUGUAACAAAAAUAUGCCUGAAAGAAGAAUAAAUUUAGUUCUCUCAUUAACAUAUUCGAUGAGCAUAUUUUUUUUGCUGAGUUUCUACCACUCAAUUUUCAAUUUAUAAAAAAAACCAAUUUAAGACUGUUACUUCAAUGAUGGCAAUUUCCUUUGUGUUAAUCUUAUAAGAGAAAAAAUCUUAAAAAUGUAGUGACAAUUACAGCGUAUAUGGAAUGGAAUGCUAAGUAAGUGUAAACAAGAUUUGUGAGUGUACUUGCAUUCUCAGUUAUAUGAGAAAUCUUUGAUGUUGUAAUCCCUAUUUAUAUUGUUAUUUUGCAGAUUUCAUAUUUUGUAAAGAAUAUGAUAAUACCUAAUAUGAUAAACUUUAAGAAUUGAAAAUGUG
rnacentral:lncRNA from 1 species